rnacentral:RNase_P_RNA from 1 species
UAGGUACAGCUGGUAAUUGCUUGAAUUAUUCAAGAGGAAAGUCCGGGCUGCUGUAAGAGAGAGUUUCAUCUAACUGAUGACCGGCGUAAGCUGAGGGAAAGUGCAACAGAAAUAUUACUUCCACAACUGUGGUAAAGGUGAAAAGGUGGAGUAAGAGCCCACCAGUCUUUGUAGCAAUACUUAGAGCUUGUAAACCCAACUUGGCAGCAAGAAACAGAUGGUUAGCAUCUUACAUGAUAUUUAUAUCAAUGCUAUUGUUUCGCUAGAGAUACUUUGUAAAAAGUAUUAUAGAUUAAUAAUUACCCAAGACAGAAUCCGGCUUAUGCUGUACCUAAAAC